UUCGUCUUUCUUUCAUCUUUUCUCCUUCCUCUCUAUCUGAAGUUUUCUUUUCUCACACCUCUUCAUCUUUUCAUCUUCUCCUUAGCCACCUAGCUUUCUCGCUAUGCUCCGAUUCCUUCUUUUCAUUCAUCUCCUUCUCUUGAUUAUACUCUCAUUCAACAAUAUGUCGAAUCGGACUUUUCUCGGCUUAUCCUUGGUCCUUCGU
rnacentral:lncRNA from 1 species